GACGAACGCUGGCGGCGUGCUUAACACAUGCAAGUCGAACGGAAAGGCCCUGCUUUUGUGGGGUGCUCGAGUGGAGAACGGGUGAGUAACACGUGAGUACCCUGUCCCUGACUUUGGGAUAACUUCAGGAAACUGGGGCUAAUACCGGAUAGGAGCUCCUGCUGCAUGGUGGGGGCUGGAUAGUUUCGGCGGUUGGGGAUGGACUCGCGGCUUAUCAGCUUGUUGGUGUGGUAGUGGCUUACCAAGGCCUUGACGGGUAGCCGGCCUGCGAGGGUGACCGGCCACAUUGGGACUGAGAUACGGCCCAGACUACUACGGGAGGCAGCAGUGGGGUAUAUUGCACAAUGGGCGGAAGCCUGAUGCAGCAACGCCGCGUGCGGGAUGACGGCCUUCGGGUUGUAAACCGCUUUCGCCUGUGACGAAGCGUGAGUGACGGUAAUGGGUAAAGAAGCACCGGCUAACUACGUG
rnacentral:rRNA from 1 species